UCACUAAUUAAACCUCUCAUAAAUACUGAGUCCAAAUCCGAUGGGCAAUCGGGCAUCAGAAUUCAUCGAUAUGUAACCCUGAUCGAAAAGUCCCAACCAGUGGGACUCUUGACCCCGGUACCCAUAAUGUGUGAAACUCGUGAUCAGAGAAUCCUGAUUCUCAAUCACUGAGUCUCAAACAUGAAGGAUUCUACACCAGCCAUUAGAUCAGAUAGGAACCUCUAAUGUGUGUGACCCCGUAGGUUCGAACCUAAACCGGUAGCACAGGAACCAAUUUCUGUACUAAUCGAAGUGACCAUCUAGCAAUGGUACCCGAUAUCCAGAUAGGUCGAAGAGUCACAAUCGCAACACUCAGAACCUACAUGAAUAUGGUUACUGUAUAAUUCAUCCUUUUGACCCCUGUGUUUAGGAUGACUCAGGGUUAAACUGUCAAUCCUGAUCAGAUCAUCCGAAUCGUGCUC
rnacentral:lncRNA from 1 species